GCUAUGGGCUGGGAAGACGCGUGAGCUGGCAGGGCCAGGCGCGAGGAAGGGGGCGGGGUGAGCUGGAACGUUAAACUGCCGCGUCACUCUGGCUCCGCCCCGCCCGGGAAAGCGCGUUUAUCACGCGUGGGGCAACUGGGAACUCAAAUGUUCGAUCGAACCGGCUUGACGUCACCGGUGGUGGCAGGGCUCGAACUCGCGGUCCCAGGAGCCUAGCUGGUCUGGAGCGCGCUGUUUCAGUUUUAGGGCAGCCAAGACUAUUCAGACUCUAGCAGAAAAGAAGCCAGCCGCCCCAUAGGCUUGCGUGGCAUCUCUGAGGCUGAGCACCAGGCUGGCAGGCCAAGGAGAAACCUGCCAUCCUAGAGGGUCUCUGCUAUGUGGCCAGGAGGUACUUGAACAGUAUGUGGCUGGAGAUGAGGGCAGCAGCCAUCAAGUUCACAGGUGAAGAACUUUGGCUUUCUACAUCACAUCAAGUCAUCUGGGUUUUACCAUAGGACUGCUUCCUCCAUCAAGGCUGUUGCUAGCAAACAGAAUCUGAAAUUAUAAUACAAAUACAAAUCAGCAACCAUGAAAAUGCUAAGUAGUACAUGUACAUGGAAGUAGUAUGUCCAUGCCUGUUAAAAACUGCCUCGACAGACAAGAUUUGGGAACUGCUCAAAGAGCUGGUGUUAUAGGAACAGUACAAUAGAAGGACUCUUCUCUAAAAGAUAAAGAAAAAAAGGAAGACAGAGGGCAGCAGUCAGCAAAAAAUGAAGAGCAAGGCAGAAGGAAAGACAGAAAGGGUACGGCUGACAGCAACUUGAAAGAAAAACCUGAACAUUGCUCAUUUUACGAAAUCAAACUGAAGUAUGACAGGUGGGAGCAGUAUAUUUAAGACGAUGACAGAAAAGGACGAGAAAGUUAACACAACUAUUUCCCAAACCUCCAAGAAAAUAUUAGUGCAGUUUAGAAUAAUGAUCCUGAAACUUGAUAGAUAUUACAUGAUCACUGGGAAAUAAAAUGCUUAAUGGGUUAAAUGCAGUUUUUAUGUUUGCAUGUUUGUUUUGAAUUUCAUUUUAUUCCAGUAUCAUCAACUCUUUUUUUUUCCACUGUUGGGACAACAUAAACAAAACAUACAAAUGGGUGGGAUUUAAAACAAAAAACAAGAAAACCUGAGUUAAUUAAUAUUGGAUUUCUUUGUCGGGAUAUUCUUUGAAAAUUGUUUUUCUUUUAAGUUUCUGGUAUUGUAUAUUUCAUAUUUAAAUUAUUAAUGCUGUAGUUAUAUCACUGCUUGGGGAAUGAGUGAAAAGAUAUUACUCUGAAUAUAGAAAAGGACCUAUACAUAUGAUCAGACAAGCAGGAAAUGUCUAUUAAAAACAAAAACUUAAAAUUUAGUUAAAUGAAAACAAAAAUGUAUUUUUGUACCACACUCAAGGAAAAUUAAAAAUGCAAGAAAGCAGAAAAUAUGCAUAAAUGGCUAGUACAUCUAGAUAUGGUAUUAAAACAAAUCAUUUAAGGAUUAAAAUUAAUCUUCUUAAGUGGCAUUUUAAGAACACAGACAGUGCAUCUACAAGUGCAAUUUACUGUGGAGUAGAAUCAUUAGCUCCGCAGUAAAGUGUCAGCGUCUACAUGUGCAUCGCUAUUAAGGUGCAGUAAACUAAUUAACUCUCCCGUAAGAUAAGUACUGUCGGGUACAGUACUGUUUUAUGGCAGAGUAAUUAACUGCACUGGAAUGCACCUGUAGACUGACCAGGGGCAUAAGUUGAGCAUGGUCAGCCCAAUCAGCCAGGGGCCUAGUCUGCUCUGGCUCAAUAGCUGCUGUCUUGGGUUCACGUGUAGACACUGGGCCCAGGAGCAGUUUACUCCAACUUGAACUGCUCUGGAGUUUAUUGUUUGCAUUACUCGCAUGCGUAGAUGCACCCAGUAAUACUAAUUCUCAAUUUCUAAUUCUGCUAAUUAUUUACUUGUUGCCAUAGCCAAUUCAUAAUCUCAGUAUUUCAAUUUUUUCACCUGUAAAAUGGAAUAUUAUUUCUUACUUACCCGUAUCUCCCUCAUGGGACUGCUAGAAUUAGUUAAUAAUUUUAUAGUGCUUUGAAGAUGAAAAAUGUUUGGAAUUUUUUUUUUUACUAUAAAUCUCCACUAAAUAGGGUUCUAAACAGUAAAAACUUGUAACAGAUAAACAGAGACAAGCCUAGGCUGAAAGUUUAUGGCUACAGCUAUGAACUUUUCCAAAGUGGAGGGCCAUUCUGAACUAGGUUUUUGUUUAAGAACUGGGAUGUUUUUAUUACUAUGAUGUUAUUUUAAAAUACUAUUGCAAAUUCUUGUUUCUGUUUGUGAGACUCAUGCAUUAUUCAGAUACAUUUCAAAGAAUAUUUAUAAGUAACAUACCAAGAGCUAAUAGAGUCAACACUCUAAGUAAAAUUAAACUAAUUCUACUUUUCCCAACAUGUUCUUGAAUGUCUACACUGUAACUAAUUCUUAAAAACAAUGUCCUAUCAGAAAUAAAAGAUAGAAAAUUUGAACAUGAAAUAUUAAUAAAGAUUUCCUAUGAUUCUCAUUCUUUCCAUUUUUCUUUGAACUACGUUAACUUGUAAAUUAAAUUUUAAAAAGCCUGUAAAUGUAGUUGAAGAACACUGGCAUAAUUUUUUCCCUACUGAUAAUGUGCAACUGUCCCGACAGUUUAGAAGCAAAGAUGACAGAAAGAAGAAAGUCCUUGGGAAAGAAUAUAUUUUAAACACUUCGAGCAAAAGGUCUUCAGAUUUGUUCCAUGCACACGAACCUGGCCUUUUACUAAAUGAGCAAUUCUAGCCUUAAAUUCCUUAAUAAUACCAUAUUAAAAUAAAGCAAACAUUCUAAUUCAUUGAGGUAUGUAUCUAGAAAAAAGAAAAGAAAGGGCUGUUGGUUGACAAAAAGGAUUUUUGUUUGCAUGUUUUAAAAGUAAGGACUGCACCGGAAGAGUAGUUAAGAUGUAGUUAU